AUAUUUAAAAGUUAGAAACCGAGGUCAGCCCAUAGACGCCUCUAAUUUCAUGCGUCAUUGAAGAAAAUGGGAUUCGGUGCAGAUCUAAGGCCCAAACUUCACACUUGAAUUCUUCAUGUUUAAACUCUUUCUUCCUCUUUAACCUAAAACCCUGCAACGCUCAAUAAUCUAAUUUCUGCCUGAGGCCGUCGCCAUCUCUGCAAAUUUUGUAAAAAAAAUGAUAAAGAGGAGGUUUUAUAAAUUUGAACAUGCGGACAAAGAUAAUGUGUCGGAUUCAUCUUCAUCGUCUUCGGACUCUGAACUUGAAGUGGAAGCCUCGGAAGAAUCUGAAUCAGAACCAGAACAAGAAGUUGCUGCUCAAGUAAAUCAAAACAAUCAAGCUUGCUCCUCUUCUUCGGGAUAUGAAAGCGAGGAUAGCUCAGCGAAUGAAGUUGGUGUGGACUCGGCAGGUCUUAUAGAUGAUGAUAAUGAUGAAAGUGAAGAUGAUAAACAAAUAUUUAUCAAUAGGUUACAUACUGAACAUGGUGCUCAAAUUCGGGGAAAAAAAUCGGAUGUCCCAUGCAACAAAGAACCGCUGCCAGAUGAUUUCCCAGCCUGUAUACUGAAAUGCAAGUCAGUUUUUAAGUGCAAGUUAUGCCCAAGGAUUGUCUGUUUGAACGAGGAGACUGCAAGGGCUCACUUUAAUUCCAAGAGGCAUGCUCGAUCUGAGAAAUUACUAAAGGAAGGUAGACUGAAGACUAUGCUUAACAGUGAUGGGGAAAUUGAGAAUCAGGAGACUGCUGCAGAAGCGUAUUCUCCAGUUGUCGCUAUUGAGCAGGAUAAACAGAAAAUGAAACAUAAAGGAGGACGCCAUCGAAGGGGGAAGGGUUCAAAAAGGAAGAGAAUGAGAGAUGAAAAGCAGUCUACAAAAGAUGGAGUCAAAAAGGGGCGUAAGGACGAAAAUUGAAAGCUGUUAAAAGAAUAGACGGGAGAGCAAAGUAAGAAAUAGUUUCCUUCUAGUUUUGCAGAACAGAGUUAUGUAAUGCAACCAACUAACCAUAUUUCCAUGAUAAUAUGCAUCAAAUGCAUGCACCCGGUAUUUAGUUCAAAAACCUAAUUCGGAGGUAACCAUGUGAUCAUGACCAGGGAUGUAAUCGAGCUGAAUCAAGCUCAAGGCUGGAAGCUCUAAUGAAACCCACUUUAAUGCCAAAUCUGGUAACAAUAAUACUGGUUAUAGUCUGCAUAAACAGAAUGGCAAUGUUUGUGAUUUAACAAAACACAAGAUACUCGAAUUUCUUGCAAACACUAAUAAAUAAUAUAUGAGAAAAAUGAGACAAAUAGAGUAUACGUAACAUAGAUUAAAUAAUACUAAACAAAUUGACAAAAGCGUGUUGCUUAGCUACCGGAAUUAGAUUUUAAAAUGAUAUCAAAUUACAAGUGGGUACCGAUACAUAAAAAGUUUUGUCUAAAUUUAUCCGUUCUGAUGAAAAAAAGGAAAUAGAAGCUCUGGCAAAGCCUUGUAUAAUCAUAUCCAUCCAGCAUUUAAGUGCCCAUGAAUAACUUACUCGAUCAAUGAGUUGUUUCGUAGCAUGGUAUACAAGAGGGUAUCACUGGAGG